rnacentral:rRNA from 1 species
UACGUAGGGUGCGAGCGUUAAUCGGAAUUACUGGGCGUAAAGCGUGCGCAGGCGGUGAUGUAAGACCGAUGUGAAAUCCCCGGGCUUAACCUGGGAACUGCAUUGGUGACUGCACGGCUAGAGUGUGUCAGAGGGGGGGGUAGAAUUCCACGUGUAGCAGUGAAAUGCGUAGAGAUGUGGAGGAAUACCGAUGGCGAAGGCAGCCCCCUGGGAUAACACUGACGCUCAUGCACGAAAGCGUGGGGAGCAAACAGG